rnacentral:rRNA from 1 species
GACGAACGCUGGCGGCGUGCUUAACACAUGCAAGUCGAACGGAAAGGCCCUGCUUUUGUGGGGUGCUCGAGUGGCGAACGGGUGAGUAACACGUGAGUAACCUGCCCUUGACUUUGGGAUAACUUCAGGAAACUGGGGCUAAUACCGGAUAGGAGCUCCGGCUGCAUGGUGGGGGUUGGAAAGUUUCGGCGGUUGGGGAUGGACUCGCGGCUUAUCAGCUUGUUGGUGGGGUAGUGGCUUACCAAGGCUUUGACGGGUAGCCGGCCUGAGAGGGUGACCGGCCACCUUGGGACUGUGCUACGGCCCAGACUACGACGGGAGGCAGCAGUGGAGAAUAUUGCACAAGGAGAGGAAGCCUGAUGCAGCAACGCCGCGUGCGGGAUGAUGGCCUUCGGGUUGGAAACCGCUUCCGCCUGUAAAGAAGCGUGAGUGACGGUAAUGGGUAAAGAAGCACCGGCUAACUACGUG